rnacentral:rRNA from 1 species
UACGUAGGGGGCAAGCGUUGUCCGGAUUUAUGGGGCGUAAAGAGCGUGUAGGCGGCUAGAUAGGUCCGUUGUGAAAACUCGAGGCUCAACCUCGAGACGCCGGUGGAAACCAUCUAGCUAGAGUCCGGAAGAGGAGAGUGGAAUUCCUGGUGUAGCGGUGAAAUGCGCAGAUAUCAGGAAGAACCCCCGUGGCGAAGGCGGCUCUCUGGGACGUGACUGACGCUGAGACGCGAAAGCGUGGGGAGCGAACAGG